rnacentral:tRNA from 2 species
GCGACACUAGCUCAGUUGGUAGAGCGCAACCUUGCCAAGGUUGAAGGUCACGCCUAGUUCCUCGAAGAUCAGGAACCUCGUGUGUCGCUCCA